GACGAACGCUGGCGGCGCGCUUAACACAUGCAAGUCGAACGGAAAGGCCUGCUUUCCCUUGUGGAUUGCGGGUACUCGAGUGGCGAACGGGUGAGUAACACGUGCGUGAUCUGCCCCCAAAUUGGGUAUAAGCCUGGGAAACUGGGGCUAAUUCCCGAUAGGACUGCAGGGGGGUGCCUGUGGUGGAAAAGGAUUGUCUAGGGGUUGGGGAUGAGCUCGCGGUCUAUCAGCUUGUGGGUGGGGUAAUGGCCUACCAAGGCUGCGACGGGUAGGCGGCCUGGGAGGGUGGACCGGCACAGUUGGACUGAGAUACGGCCCAGACUCCUACGGGAGGCAGCAGUCGGGAAUAUUGCACAAGGGACGGAAGCCUGAGGCAGGGACGCCGCGUGGGGGAUGCCGGCCUUCGGGUUGCAAACUCCUUUCGACCGCGAGGAAGCCACCUGGAUGGAAGGGUGGUGACGGUAGUGGGAGAAGAAGCACCGGCUAACUACGUG
rnacentral:rRNA from 1 species